CCUACGGGUUGCAGCAGUGGGGAAUAUUGCACAAUGGGCGCAAGCCUGAUGCAGCCAUGCCGCGUGUGUGAAGAAGGCCUUCGGGUUGUAAAGCACUUUCAGCGAGGAGGAAGGUGGUGAGCUUAAUACGCUCAUCAAUUGACGUUACUCGCAGAAGAAGCACCAGCUAACUCCGUGCCAGCAGCCGCGGUAAUACGGAGGGUGCAAGCGUUAAUCGGAAUUACUGGGCGUAAAGCGCACGCAGGCGGAUUGUUAAGUCAGAUGUGAAAACCCCGGGCUCAACCUGGGAACUGCAUUUGAAACUGGCAAGCUAGAGUCUCGUAGAGGGGGGUAGAAUUCCAGGUGUAGCGGUGAAAUGCGUAGAUAUAUGGAGGAACACCAGUGGCGAAGGCGACUCUCUGGUCUGUAACUGACGCUGAGGCUCGAAAGCGUGGGGAGCAAACAGGAUUAGAUACCCGCGUAGUC
rnacentral:rRNA from 1 species